rnacentral:lncRNA from 1 species
CUGUAAUGCAGAAGGAGUUAUAAUUUACUUGGUUCAAGACAAAUUUACUGGCCACAGUUCACUACUGGGUGGAGACAUAGCAUUGAAAGCCUGGGGCUUUUCCAGCUGAGCUCUUUUCUGAUUCUGUGGUAGACCAUGGAAUGACUUGUCUCAUCAGGGCUUGGCAAGGACAAUUCUCUUGUCUAUCCUUUCACUUCCUGUGCCAGGUUUGCAUUGGAGCCCAAGUCCAGAGAAGGCUGAAGUCUGAAUUCCUGUGCAGACCGUGGACCACAUCAUCACAGGGUGGGCCUCCUGUGUUGCCUGACCUGGCUGGCUCUCCAAGAAUAACUUCUCUCCACUUAUCUGAAGUCACGUGGAUGUUGAUCAAUCACGAUGGCUGUGCCUGUAAGAUGAGAGGAGUGGGCUGCUGAUCCAAAAGGGGGAGAGGCUCAAGUUCGUUUUCUCAAAAGAACUGCCAGAAGAAAUCCCAUUUUCAUUAAUCAAGGGACAACUACAUGGCAGGUACUGUUCUAGGAGCUGGGGACUUGGCAGUGAUCAUGACAGCCCUUGUACCUUAGUCUUCUCCGCAGUGGCGGAGAGGGAGGUUGGGAGACACCAGCCUGUAUGUGGAAGUCCAUGAAUUCAUGUGGCAUUCUAUUUUCACUGUUGCAGAGAGCAGCCUAUUAAACUCAAAUUUGGCCAGAAGCUUGCGAUUCUUUGGUAGGUUCAUCCUGACAUAACUAUGAUAAAUUAGGGACCCCUUUGAACUUUUAAAUAAGAAAUAUUAAUCAUUUAUUUGUCUCUUUACUCAUUUGGCAAAUACUUACCAACUACCCACCUGGUAGCAGUCUCUGUCCUAGACACUAGACA